rnacentral:lncRNA from 1 species
AUAUAAUUCUGAUAAUUUGCAUGCUAAUAGGAUGAGUGACGCCAUGCCUUAGAUCAUGUUUCCGAUUGACUCGUGUGCUAAAGUGUUUUCUUGUUUAAUCUCUACGCAACGUGUCUUUAAAUGAGUUAGCAUUCAUGUUUAAGAUCAAGCGCAAAGAUGGUUCUAAAUACUUGAGGAGUCUUAACAAUUAGAUAACCGCAAAGGCUCUAAUUAAAUCGGAAUUGGUUAGAGUCUAGGAUAAUUUGAACGUUGUUGCCCGGCCUUGCAUGAAGUUGUUAUGUGUUCUUGAUGGUUUUUCGUGUUAUGUGUUGCAUGAGUAUGUUGAUCACUUGUAUAUAAUAAUCUUAGGUUAAAUUUUCAAAAGGUUAUUUGUUAGAAUUAAUCAAUCUUAAACCCCCAAUAUUUCGAUGUAUAUAUGUGAAUACUUGUUUAUAAAUUGUUUGGUUUCUCUUCUUUCGAUCGCCCUUUGGUUUCCCCGGCUAGAACGAUCCCUACUUGUCCAUAUUACUACGAUUGCAGGGUAAUUAAAUUGAAGUUGUUUGACCCCGGUUACGCGACACGUCACUAAUGCACACAAUCACCACUAAAGCACACAUUCACAACUAAGACACACAAUCACCACCAAGGCAUCAUUCCACAACGAAUGUACACAAUCACCACUAAUGUCACAUCCCGACUCUUAAAUUUUUACCUUAUUUACUAGCUUGGUAAUAAUAAGAGUUUUACUGUAACAUCCCGGACCCAAAUUUUACCUAUUUACUCGGUAUUUCACGAGUUACUGGAGAAUUUAACAGUGCUCGGUAACUUAGUAAGUUAACACUCGAGUUUAUUUGUGAGUUUUUCUGGAAAUGUCAAACUCUUCUUUUUAGGUCCCGAUGUCGUAGUUCAAGUCGAUUCGAGUUCUUCGGUGUCUUCAGAAUUGUUUUGCGGAGCUCCGGAUUAUUUUUCUAUGUUUUAUCGAAGGUUUGGUACUAGGAUUAUUCUUACUGAGAUUAGGGUAUAAAUUUUUUUCGAGUUUUAAAGGAAAAGAAGUGGUGGACUUCGGUCAAAAGCCCAAAGUGGGUGUUGACCAGCUCUUCCACUCCUCUCCCCGACUCCCUCUCUCUCUCGUCUCUCAGUCUUGCCGUGCCGGAGUGGCGCCGUCCGGCCACCUAUGACGACAAGACCCCCACCAAUUCUCUUCCUCUCCCUCUUCUUUACAACGUCUAGCUUUCAAUUCACCAGUGUCCGAACUUUGGAAGGAGAUCGACGGGAAGAAGCACAGCAGCCCUCCGGCGAUUCUUGUUGAUGUCGGCCAUGACUUGGCACCCGAACGGUAGGGUUCGUCUCCUCUAUCCUUCUUCCUUCUUUCUCUGCCUUUGACUCUUCAAAACGAGUUCAAAUUCGGGAGCCCCUUUUUGUGUUUUUAGGUUUUCGUCGGGGUUUUCCGGCGAGUUCGUUCUUGGAGCUCCGGCGGGACUACCGUGCUCUAGUGAGUCUAGAAUCAGUUGAAUGGAGCCCAGACACGUCUUGGGAAGGGUUGGAGGAAGCAAUGGUGGUAUUGAACCGAGGUAGAGGUUUUCUGCCAAAGGGAGGUCCCCUAUUCUUCUAUUGGUUCUUUAUUUUUGUCAAGACGAAGGCUUGGUGAGUUUGGCUUGUGAGGAACCGAAGUAAUCUGGAACUGUUUCGGUGAAGGUGGCAGCUAAGGCAGCCGUUGGGAAUGUUUGGAGGUCUUUCAUGUGGAGUCUGGCAAGGAGGAGCUCUGGUUUGCGAAAUAGAGCAAAUUGAAGGUAAGUUGGUGUUUUCGGCUAUUGUAUUGAGUUGUAUUGAGGUUUGGGUGCUAGUUAGGUGAUUUGGAAUUAUGCUCGGUGUUUUUCGGAAAUGGUUAAUGACUGUUCUUGUUGUUGUGGUUGUUGCAUGUCGAGAACUUGGAGUUCUGAAGAAUACGGGGAGGCUAUGGCGAAAUUCCGGCAAGUCACCAGAAUCCGACGAGUAUUUCUGGCAGAACCCAUGAAGGUAGCUUGUCGACUUUUCUUUUCGUGUAAGUGGUAGUUUACGGUUUAGGAAAACCUGCCAUAUUUAGAAAGUCUCUUUUUAGGGAACUUUCCCCUUUAUGGAAACUUCCAUUCUUGGAAACCCUUUUGGGUGCCCUUAGUAAUUGUUGGUGUGAAGUUGGGUAGAAAAGAAAUGUUGGAAUUGUUGGUUCUGGUUGGCUUAAGCUAGGGGACCAUAAAAUAAUUUUUGUUAAUAUGAUUACUAUCCAUAGUAACCCUAAAAUCUAGACCAUUGGCUUCAUGGUGAUUUUGGAAGUGAAUUGCUUAGUGUGUUAAAGGCAUAGAGAUAGUGUGUGACUUCGAUUUCAGGUUAAGGUUUGGUUUGAAACCGAAUAAGUUUUGGAUGCGAAGUUAGUAGUAGAAAAUGAUUCUUUUAUCUAUUGGUCAACCUAGGAAAUCUUAGUCAAACCAGGAAGAAGUCGAUUCGUUAAUGUUGAUGGAGUCCGGUCUGACCAAUUUAUUCUUCUGUUUAUCGUCAGACGUGGGAUUGGCUAGAGUGUGUAAUUAGUUGGAGGCAGCGCUCGAGGAGUAUUCCGAGCAUUGGAAGGCUUAGGCCUAAUACUGUGAGUGGACUUUUAUUUUAAAUAAUAUGCAUGCUAUGGUUUUGGUUGAGCAUUUAAAAUUGUUGGAGUUUUAACGUCAUUUAAUUUUGACGCUUUUAUUUCUUUUGGAGAGUUACCGAAAAAUAGGAUUUUUCGGUGAGUAUAAAUAUGUAUAUUGAGGAGAGUAUGUAUAUAAAUGCUAGCUAGCCAUAUGUGUUUGUCCACCUUAAUGGCGUAGCAUAUAACCGUAUUAUGGUGUGACGUGAGCGUUGGAUGCGAGCGUAGUAGCCCUAUAUGAGUGUUUAAUUCAUAUAGGGGGUAUGGGCACAUAUUUAUACACCCGUCUGUCCACCUUAAUGGCGUAGUGUAACACCGCAUUAAGACGUGACGUGAGCGUUGGACGCGAGCGUAGUAGCUCUAUAUAGACCCAUGAAUUUAUAUAGGGAGUAUGGACGUGUGUAAAUACAUACAUAUAUUUUUUUAGAGUCUGAGAGACUCGAUAUGUAUGGGAUAAAAGUUCUAUCGCUUGCAGCAUGCAUUCAACUUUCCUUGGAAAUUGAUUUGGGGAAACAUAAAUAUUUUAUUCGUUAAUUUAUUUUUGUCUACUCACUCUAACGUUUAGUUUUCAAAUGUUUUUCCCCUGGGCUCUUCGUUUUAAAAAUGCCCAGUUUGCAAGAUUGCAUAGUUGUGGUCGGACGUAUUUGGAGAAGAGGCAUAGUCAAUAGUGUUGCUUCCGCUCAUUUUUAUAUUUCUAGUUCAUUUCCUUUCAAAUAGAGUUGCUCUGAACUAUGGCUGUUGGCUAUGAGAUUUUCUUGUUUAAGUUAGUAAUUAAAUUUGGAGAUGUUGUGAUUUGGGGAGCACGAAGGCUCCAGGAGUUUAAGGUUGGAUUUGGAUUUUUCAGAAGUGUUUGCAGGUAUUUAUUAGAAAGGGUUGUCCAUUUUCAAGGGAGGUUGUGCCGAUUUUUCGGUAAACUUUCCUUGGAGGUGGUCCCCGCAGGAUUUACUUCGGGUUUCAGGGUGAAAUUCGGGGUGGGUCUUGAUAGUUGGUAUCAGAGCACUAGGUUAUUCGUUUCCUUUCUCAUUUUAGUACUACCUCAUAUUCUUGGUCAUGCUUAGUGUCUAUAGAGUGAUGGUCCGACCGCGGCGGAUCUAUUAGCAUUAUAUGCUUUAGACACUAUGUGUUGAUUAGGUUUGUGAUGUAGUUGUUCUUGUUUUAUUUAUGGUCAGUAUUAUGCCAUAAAUAUCUAUAUCUUCAAGACUAUGCCUCCGUACGCUGACCUUUUAGGUAAUCUUUAUGUUUCGUGUAAUAUAAAGGUAUAUUGAUUACGCCUUUUCCAAGGAUAUUCGAGUUGAUAUCAUAAAUUAUUAGAGUUUAAUUGCGAGUUGGGAACUCCAGUUGGGAACUCAUAAGAGUGGUAGCAUUCGUUUCAUUUGAUCAAUGAUUGUUUGGGUAAUGAUUAAGAUGCUGAGGGGAACAUCUUGUGCGAAUCUGUAGUACGUGAAACGUUUGAUUCGACGGAUGUCUUGAGAGUUUUCUAUUUUUGGUGGGCAAGUAAAGAGCUGUGGUAAUCCGAUAGAAAAUCUUGGCAUCUAGUUACGUGACUUCUGAAAGAAAAGAGUUGGAAAGAAAGUUUGGAGUAGUGGUGUACUCUAUAGAUUUAAAGGUUGGUGGAAGUGAUGUGGUGAGGUACCCAUAGUAAUUCGAAGAGGUACCUAUACGAGUCGAUGAGGACUCUAAUUUUGGGCUGAUUAGUCACGAGGGAUUGUGUGGCUAAUAAAAAGGCUAUCAAUUUAGAGAAGUCUUGAUUCUUGACCAAAUUCCCAACUGCUUUAUCCGCAGCGAAAGUUAGUUGGGAUUGUUUUGGUUAAUGCUUGUUAUGGUCGCGCAUGUUCUGGCCGUACAACUCUAAUUAAGGAUAUGUUUUUAUCCUUGGAAUCAUCAUAUUAAACAGUAAAAUCGGAGAAUUUAGGAGAAGGAGGUUAGCAGCAGUCGGCGGAUAGUAAGAUUUUUUGAUGAAUUUCGCCUAAAUUAAAGAUGGAUUAGUUGAAGUUGGUUUUACAACAGUCAUUAGUCAAUGGCAUUAUGGCAAACUUGAUGUUGUGUCGUGGUCGGGGAAUUAUUAGAAAUUGAAUGGUGUCAUCAAAAGUUUCGAGUUUUGAGUUUCGAGCAAGCUUUAAAGCGUUGAGCGACUUCUGUCAGCUAUAGUAUUUUAAUCGUGGGCCGUUGUAGAUUCUUUCGGAAUUCUAAGUGUUGAAGUUGGAUUCCAGUUUUGUUGAGUGUUUUGGGAAGAAAAUAAAUUUAAAUGAAAUUGAAAAGUAAUGGUGGAGUGAGAGCGGAUGGUUGUGGUCACUCCGGUUUUACGACAACAUCUGGUGAAUUUGUGAUGUGUUGUCAGGGGUAUUCUAAAAUAGUUGUGUAGAGCUGGUGGAAGUGGUAGCAGUGGAAUAAAACCCACUGGAUCUUGGAGCAAGACUGUGUGGGUGUCCAUAGUAAAUUUCAAGCUGCAUUGUUUUAAGUAGUGAUGUAUGUCUCAAAUUUGUGAUCGAAGUUGGUUUUUGAUAUCAUUUCGUUCACAAUGGGUGACUAAUUACGACACAACAAUGAGAGGAUUUGUUCUCGCCUUAUUUCUAAUUCAGUGAGAUGGAGUAAGGUUUUGGUUGUGGUGUGUGUGGGAAUAUUUCAAUUAUUCCUACUGUAGUUUGUGGGUAGCAUCCUCAGAGCUUGAAAUUAUGGAAUGCGAUUUCAACGCUUCGAUUUGAAGGUUAGAGAUUAUGGUUAGUUUGUCGAAUUUUUGAGGCAAAUCAUAAAUUGGUAGUUGUGUCGUAGUCAUGGAGUUCAUUUAAGCGAUGAGUCUUGAUGCCGUAAAUCCUAUGUGGUAGUUUGAGAGUUGCACGGUGAUGUUCAUUUGAUGGUUUGUGCCGUUAUAGACAUGUUGUAGCCUUAUGGAAAAGGGUUUUUCCCUGUUGACUCAAGAAGCGUCUAGAGGUUUAUUAAGAGUUAUAAUAUUGAGGGUAGUAGAUAUGGGGAUAGGUUGAACGAUGUCUCUUCUCGAGAUCGUAUUGUGGUGGGACCACUUAUUGAUCCAAGUUUGAUUUGGGAGAUCUUUGCUUUUUGGUGGUGUGUUCAUCCAUUGGUGUCAGGAUGAUUAGUUGAGGUUUCUAAUGCGAUUUUGAAACGGUUCUGGCGGAUAUCGGAGAUUUGUGGAGCUUUUGAGCUCGAAGUUAGAGGACUUGCCUUUCGUGUGCUUUAAGUUAUUUCUUCUGGAACUUGAGCUGAGUUUAGCCUUGAGUUUUGAUUCUUGCUUGAAUUCAUGGUUUUCAUUGGUUGGAGAACCACAAAAUGUGGUAAUGGGUCUUGUAUAAAAUUUAUCUUUGCAUUUGAUAGUUGCAUGAUUCUGCAUGCUCGGUUAUCAAAGAAUUUUUUUGGUGGGAAGCCGUGGCCCUAGGCGGUGUAGGAGACUUGAGCAUAUUUGUUUUUCAGAUCGUCUUCUGCUAUUAGACUAAUCGUUAAGAAGUGUAUUUGUCGGGUGCAAAGGUUUUGGCUUUUAGAAUCAUUCUUGUGGAACGGCUAGAGUGAGCCAUGUGCUUUUAAUUGUUGCACUUAGGGUCGCAGUUGCACCCGAAUAAUUAGCAUGGUUGGAGAUGUAAAUUUUGUCAAUGCUUAAAGAAGGUGUUCUAUUUAUGUGGAUUUCAACAUCAAGUUUAGCAUCACGAAUUGACUGUGCCAAUUUUUCAUGGGCAUUAUUAGUCAGUUUUGUUUAUGGCGAGCAUGGGGGAAUUUCUAGUUUCCACAUGAUAGUCAUGUUUCAGAUUGUCUUCUGAUUUGUGGUAAAGAGAUUGGUAGAGAUAGCAGAAUCAAGAGAGAGUUGGAUUUCCUAUAAGCUGCUAGUUUGUGGUGCAUAAAAUGGUAAUGUAAUAGUUUUGGUGGAGAUACCUAAGUGACGUGGUAUUGAUCUUUUCAUAAUGUUAUCUCGAAAAUCAAGGUUAUCAUAUGUUGGUGGACUGGUCACUGAGGCAAAGCAAAGCUGUCUUGUGGACUUGCGAGGGCUUUGACUCCACGAAAGACUUUGCGAGGUGUCUCGGUAUUAAAAGUGAUUGUUACAGUUCUGCAGUGUGUGCAUCCUUAAAUCUGUUCAAUUAGCAGGUCUUAAUUUUGACCCCUAUGAGCAUGUGGGAAUGUGUGAACUUUAGUUUUUUUAGCAAGUUGGCUUCGACGCUGAGUUUGUGAGUUGCAUAAUGACUAGUUUGUUGUAUGUCAUUAGGAGAUUUAAGCCUGGCAGUGAUAUUGAAUUUUUCUCUGUAUUAGCUAUUUUAAGUUUCUUAAUGAAACAAAUUGUGAUUUGUUGUCGAUCAAUGAUCAUUACCUUUGGCUCGUUCAGUUUAAAAUUUCGAGCACGAAAUUUUUAUAAGGAGGGGAGAUUGUAACAUCCCGGACCCAAAUUUUACCUAUUUACUUAGUAAGUUAACACUCGAGUUUAUUUGCGAGUUUUUCUGGAAAUGUCAAACUCUUCUUUUAAGGUCCCGAUGUCGUAGUUCAAGUCGAUUCGAGUUCUUCGGUGUCUUCAGAAUUGUUUUACGGAGCUCCGGAUUAUUUUUCUAUGUUUUAUCAUAGGUUUGGUACUAGGAUUAUUCUUACUGAGAUUAGGGUAUAAAUUUUUUUCGAGUUUUAAAGGAAAAGAAGUGGUGGACUUCGGUUAAAAGCCCAAAGUGGGUGUUGACCAGCUCUCCCACUCCUCUCCCCGACUCCCUCUCUCUCUCGUCUCUCAGUCUUGCCGCGCCGGAGUGGCGCCGUCCGGCCACCUAUGACGACAAGACCCCCACCAAUUCUCUUCCUCUCCCUCUUCUUUACAACGUCUAGCUUUCAGUUCACCCGUGCCUGAACUUUGGAAGGAGAUUGACGGGAAGAAGCACAACGGCCCUCCGGCGAUUCUUGUCGAUGUCGGCCAUGACUUGGCACCCGAACGGUAGGGUUCGUCUCCUCUAUCCUUCUUCCUUCUUUCUCUGCCUUUGACUCUUCAAAACGAGUUCAAAUUCGGGAGCCCCUUUUUGUGUUUUUAGGUUUUCGUCGGGGUUUUCCGGCGAGUUCGUUCUUGGAGCUCCGGCGGGACUACCGAGCUCCGGUGAGUCUAGAACCGGUUGAAUGGAGCCCAGACACGUCUUGGGAAGGGUUGGAGGAAGCGACGGUGGUAUUGAACCGAGGUAGAGGCUUUCCGCCAAAGGGAGGUCCCCUGUUCUUCUAUUGGUUCUAUGUUUUAUGGUGUGACGUGAGCGUUCGACGCGAGCGUAGUAGCCCUAUAUGAGUGUUUAAUUCAUAUAGUGGGUAUGGGCACAUAUUUAUACACCCGUCUGUCCACCUUAAUGGCGUAGUGUAGCACCGCAUUAAGGCGUGACGUGAGCGUUGGACGCGAGCGUAGUAGCCCUAUAUAGACCCAUGAAUUUAUAUAGGGAGUAUGGACGUGUGUAAAUACAUACAUAUAUUUUUUUUAGAGUCUGAGAGACUCGAUAUUUAUGGGAUAAAAGUUCUAUCGCUUGCAGCAUGCAUUCAACUUUCCUUAGAAAUUGAUUUGGGGAAACAUAAAUAUUUUAUUCGUUAAUUUAUUUUUAUCCACUCACUCUAACGUUUCGUUUUCAAAUGUUUUUCCCCUGGGCUCUUCGUUUUAAAAAUGCCCAGUUUGCAAGAUUGCAUAGUUGUGGUCGGACGUAUUUGGAGAAGAGGCAUAGUCAAUAGUGUUGCUUCUGCUCAUUUUUAUAUUUCUAGUUCAUUUCCUUUCAAAUAAAGUUGCUCUGAACUGUGGCUGUUGGCUAUGAGAUUUUCUUGUUUAAGUUAGUAAUUAAAUUGGGAGAUGUUGUGAUUUGGGGAGCACGAAAGCUCCAGGAGUUUAAGGUUGGAUUUGGAUUUUUCAGAAGUGUUUGCAG